rnacentral:tRNA from 1 species
GCCCCUGUAGUAUAGUGGAUAGUACGUGAGGUUGCGGACUUCAUGACCCGAGUUCAAUUCUCGGCAGGGGCG